CGCCGCGACAGGAGCACCCAACCGCCCUCGUCAGCAGCCGUGCGGUAGCAGCGAGAGCUCUACAUGCGAAGCAGCGAAAUUAAUCUACACGAAUAAGUGGAUAUUUACGCACUGAUUACAUAACUUUACUGGACUAUUUAUUCUACUGUUGUUGUUUAUGUUUUCUAUCCACCCGAAGUUUGUCUUUAAUUGCACAAUUCGCAUUUAUAACUGAUUUCCAACUCAAAAUGGAGAAUCAAGAAGGCAAAUACCUCCCGGAGCUCCUCGCGGAGAAAGACAGUCUGGACGUGUCAUUUACGCACGCGAUGAAACUUUUAUCCGCAGAAAUCGAGAGAAUCCAGAAAGGUGAACCCAAGAAGGAAGGAGGAGACGCGUACCUGGACCUUUUCACCGUGAAGAAUAUCAAACUGAAGGAGCGUGUGCUCAUACCUGUCAAACAGUAUCCGAGGUUCAACUUUGUGGGGAAGAUUCUUGGCCCUCAGGGCAACACAAUCAAACGCCUUCAGGAAGAGACUGGGGCCAAGAUCUCUGUACUGGGCAAAGGUUCCAUGAGGGACAAGGCGAAGGAGGAGGGUCUGAGGAAAGGUGGUGAGCCCAAGUACGCACACCUGUCUAUGGAGCUGCAUGUCUUCAUCGAGGUGUUUGCCCCCGUGCCCGAGGCUUAUCUACGCAUGGCACACGCCAUGGAGGAAGUCAAGAAGUUCCUUUUUCCUGACAUGAUGGAUGACAUCUGUCAGGAACAGUUCAUGGAGAUGGGUUAUCUGAACGGGGGCCAGGAGCACGGGCCAGGGGCCCCACGAGGUAGAGGCGGACCACCGGGCCCCAGGGGCCGAGGAGGGCCACCGGGACAAACAGGGGCAUCCAGGGGUAGAGGUAUGCUCCCACGUGGAGGUGCCACAAGGGGAGGUGCGCCCCGCGGAGGGCCAGCCAGAGUUGGGGUAGUGAGGGGGGCACCGGCAGGAAGAGGGGGACCUCCAGCUGUCCCCGCCCGAGGGGCAGCAACGCCCCGAGCCAGACCCCCUGCCCCUGGGGGACCACCCAGGAUGCCACCCCCACACCAACACGCCCCAGCACAUGGACAAUAUGAGGAAUAUGCCUAUGAUGAGGGCUACACAGAGCCAGCGUACGAGUCAUACGACAAUUACUACAGUCAACCACAGGCAGAGCCAGAGUACUACGACUACGGACAUGGAGAGGUACAGGAGGCAUAUGAACCCUACGCCCAGGAUGACUGGAACGGAGCCCAGAGAGCGGCACCGGCGGGAAAGGCCCCACCUUCCAGAGCGGCUAAGGGCCCUUACCGAGAACACCCCUAUAGACAAUACUGAACUCACCAUGACAACGCCUAGCGACCAACGCUAACGAGUUGCCCUGACAACCAACAGACCUGUCUACCACGGGGGCUCUCGCUCUAAGCAACCCUCGAAAAAAGUCCAACUAUUAGUCAGUCAAGGACCAAUCAGAGGGUGGCUUACUGGAGAGAGAACCAAUCAGAGGUCGGCUUACUGGAAAGAUGAUACCAUACGUACCUCAGUGAGGUGGUGCAGGAGCAGCAGGGUCCUACAUGACAGAGCACUGGAUCUCCGUCAGGCUCCACAGUGAAGGGCUGACCCAGUGGAGGGCACCAAUACUGGGGUAGAGCAGUCCGGAAGGAGGGCAGGCUGCCAAGAGGACCAGAGAGCAGAUGUAACCUACAGAGAAGGGAGCCUCGGCCCCGCUAGAAAAUGAAGAGGGGUGAUUCUAUGAGGCUCUGUAUUAGAAUCUGGAUGAGGGGAGAAGAUUCUGGAAUGUGAAGCUAUGACACUUAACUAUGAAGCUAUGACACUGAAGCUAUGACAGUUAUUGUGAAGCUAUGACACUUAACUUUGAAGCUAUGACACUGAAGCUAUGACACUUAUUGUGAAGCUAUGACACUUACUGUGAAGCUAUGACACUGAAGCUAUGACACUAACUGUGAAUUUAUGACACUGAAGCUAUGACACUAACUGUGAAGCUAUGACACUAACUGUGAAGCUAUGACACUGAAGCUAUGACACUAACUGUGAAGCUAUGACACUAACUGUGAAGCUACGACACUGAAGCUAUGACACUAACUGUGAAGCUAUGACACUGAAGCUAUGACACUAACUGUGAAGCUAUGACACUUACUGUGAAGCUAUGACACUAACUGUGAAGCUACGACACUGAAGCUAACUGUGAAGCUAUGACACUGAAGCUAUGACACUAACUGUGAAGCUAUGACACUAACUGUGAAGCUAUGACACUUACUGUGAAGCUAUGACACUAACUGUGAAGCUAUGACACUUACUGUGAAGCUAUGACACUAACUGUGAAGCUAUGACACUAACUGUGAAGCUAUGACACUGAAGCUAUGACACUAACUGUGAAGCUAUGACACUGAAGCUAUGACACUAACUGUGAAGCUACGACACUGAAGCUAUGACACUAACUGUGAAGCUACGACACUGAAGCUAUGACACUAACUGUGAAGCUACGACACUGAAGCUAUGACACUAACUGUGAAGCUAUGACACUGAAGCUAUGACACUAACUGUGAAGCUACGACACUGAAGCUAUGACACUAACUGUGAAGCUAUGACACUGAAGCUAUGACACUAACUGUGAAGCUACGACACUGAAGCUAUGACACUAACUGUGAAGCUACGACACUGAAGCUAUGACACUAACUGUGAAGCUACGACACUGAAGCUAUGACACUAACUGUGAAGCUAUGACACUGAAGCUAUGACACUAACUGUGAAGCUACGACACUGAAGCUAUGACACUAACUGUGAAGCUACGACACUGAAGCUAUGACACUAACUGUGAAGCUACGACACUGAAGCUAUGACACUAACUGUGAAGCUAUGACACUGAAGCUAUGACACUAACUGUGAAGCUAUGACACUGAAGCUAUGACACUAACUGUGAAGCUAUGCUUGUGAUGGCUGUGUGACUCUGGCGUUUUGAUACUGUACUGCUUAUUCACUGCCAGGUACUUUUGAUACUAAACUAUUCUAUUGGUUUCUAAUGUGAACAGUUUCCAAGACCCUUUACAGUGUGUAGUAAGUGAAACUUCAUUGUUAUGGAAAUGUACAAUGAAAAUGCCCACCCAGGCUGUAACCAGCUGUGAAAUUGGUUUAAAUAUCCCUUUAAUUGGUUGUCUUCUAUUUUCUUUGAAGGGUUGAACACAUUUUGACUUUCUGCAAGGCAAGCUGUAUUUAUUCACGCCCUCAUAGAGAGAUUGUUCAUUAUACUGUUUUAGCAGAUACAGCCUGUGUCCAUGUCUGUUUCUUUGUCUUCAUGGUUUAAUAUCAUGGUAAAUGAUGCUAUGUGCUUGUGAAAUCAAGACACCCUAAGAGUGAAUCUGUUUCUGUUCUGCUCGGGUCCUCUGCCGCUCGCCACGUCGUUCACACACUGAAUAUCACUCACACAUACACACACACGUACAACAGACAAUCCAUGGCAUAACCCAGCCUAUGUUGCCCUAAAGAUAUGAAAUGCUAAUGUGAAAUGCAUUUGCAUGUUCUUUCCGCUCAAAUGUGCAAAGCUUUCGCAACAAAUGUUGGCUUGCUCAACGUCCAAGUCUGAUAAUACUCUGAGAUCUGGCUGUGAGGGGAAGUGUGUGUGAGGGAGAUGGAUAGAUUACCAGCAUUUGCUCUCUACCUCUCCUGCUCUCCCCUGACUCCAUCCCUUUCUCUCCUGCUCUCCCCUGACUCCAUCCCUUUCUCU